GUUUCGAUAAUAUGUUUGUGUGUUAUGUUUGCAAUAGGUGUUGCACAGCUGAAUGUGGUAAGACGUGACUAUUUUACUACAAAAGACAGAAGAAUUCUUCCUACAAUUACCACAAUCAUUCAGCAAAAAUCACGAUCACUGUCAGCGUGUGCGUCUUUCUGUUCAAUACAUAAAGCAUGCUGUGUUGCUAGCUAUGAUCGGAAAACAAAGCAAUGCAUCCUAGAUAAAUCCUGCUGCCCAGAAAGUGAGCAAUCAGUAGAUGCACUGAUGUUGAAGAUCCGAUCAG
rnacentral:lncRNA from 1 species